rnacentral:rRNA from 1 species
UCCCUACCAAGGCUUUGAUGGGUAGUCGGCCUGAGAGGGUGGUCGGCCACACGGGCACUGAGACACGGGCCCGACUCCUACGGGAGGCAGCAGUAAGGAAUUUUGGGCAAUGGGCGCAAGCCUGACCCAGCGACACCGCGUGGAGGAAGCAGGCCUUCGGGUUGUAAACUCCUGUUACAGAUUAAGAAAGAGAUGGGUGUUAAUACCACCUAUUUUUUGACAAAGGUCUGAGAGAAAGCCAUGGCUAACUCUGUGCCAGCAGCCGCGGUAAUACAGAGAUGGCGACCGUUGUUCGGAAUUACUGGGCUUAAAGCGCAUGUAGGCGGAACUACAAGUCAGUUGUGAAAUCCCAUGACUUACUCAUGGAAUGGCAGCUGAAACUGUAGAUCUUGAGUCCGGAAGGGGAGAGUGGAACUCUCAGUGGAGCGGUGAAAUGCGUUGAUAUUGGGAGGAACACCGGUGGCGAAAGCGACUCUCUGGUCCGGCACUGACGCUGAGAUGCGAAAGCUAGGGGAGCAAACGGGAUUAGAUACCCCGGUAGUCCUAGCCGUAAACGAUGGGCACUAAGUAGGGGAAUCCCCAAUUUCUCUACUGGAGCUAAAGUAUUAAGUGCCCCGCCUGGGGAGUAUGGUCGCAAGGCUGAAACUCAAAGGAAUUGACGGGGGCUCGCACAAGCGGUGGAGCAUGUGGUUUAAUUCGAAUCAACGCGAAGAACCUUACCUGGGUUUGACAGCCUGAAUUAGCUUCCAGAAAGGGAAGUGACGCCCUUCGGGGUGGAAUCAGGAACAGGUGUUGCAUGGCUGUCGUCAGCUCGUGCCGUGAGGUGUUGGGUUAAGUCCCAUAACGAGCGAAACCUUUGUCCUUAGUUGCCAGCGGGUCAUGCCGGGGACUCUAGGGAGACUGCCUACGUUAAGUGGGAGGAAGGUGGAGAUGACGUCAAGUCAUCAUGGCCUUUAUGCCCAGGGCUACACACGUGCUACAAUGGUUGGUACAAAGGGACGCGAGGUCGAGAGGCGGAGCAAAUCCCAAAAAGCCAAUCUCAGUUCGGAUUGAGGGCUGAAAUUCGCCCUCAUGAAGCUGGAAUCGCUAGUAAUCGUGGGUCAGCAAUACCACGGUGAAUAUGUUCCCGAGCCUUGUACACACCGCCCGUCAAGCCACCGAAAUAGGGGGCUCCUGAAGUCGUUGACCCAACCAUUUUUUGGGGGGAGGCGCCUAAGGAGACCUUUAUAACGGGGACUAAGUCGUAACAAGGUA